CUAGCGCAUGGCCCCUGCCUUGGUCGGCCACGCCGCGUACCACCCCUUCUGGCGAGAUCUCUUCCCCGGCUAGCCACCCCCUUCGCCAUCCCUCCUUCUCCCAUUUUCUGACCCGUCAAGGAGGACGCCAUGGCCGCCACUUUGAACUCCAUGGCCGGAACCUGUACCACCGCUGGAACCUGAGUGGACCACUGCUGCUCCCGGCAUGAUGCGUGCUGAUGCACAAGAAUGCAGCUGACGCAGGUACUGAACCUGUACGAGGGUGCUUCUGAACUGCAUAUGGGUUGGUGUCAUGCCUGAGGAACACGGGUUCAGCUCGUUACGGCUGCAGCUUCCCCUCCAUUGCGGCCUCCUCUUCGUCAUUGUGCUUGGAUUAUGGUCUGCUAGCUGCAAUGCUUGAGCGUCCCAGUUCGCCAGCGCCUCCCUCCGGUAACCACUGUGCUCGGUUGGGAAAUUCACUGUGAGCAUCCUGGAAGUUCACCUCCACACAGUUUGGUUCAUUCGCAGACUAGUUAUUACGCAGGAACUAUGUGACGGUGCAUACUUGGUGUUGUCAAAGCAGAGGGCAAUGGGAUGGAUAAUUCCUUUAUAUUCACUAUUUCCUAAGUUCGUUGUUAUGCAUUGGGAGAAGUAAACUUCUUGAUUAUGUGUAAAGAAAACUAGGAAGCCUUGGCGCAGAGGUCACCUCCUUUUUGUAAGGUCGAAGGAGGAAGUUCAUGUUCCUGUAAAAAACGAGAGAGGAUAAUGUCACCUGUACAGUUAAUUUAUUUUAGGCAGUUGGUGCAUUUGCUUAUUACCGCCAAGUUCAUUCGGCAAAAUAACGUGGAAUGGUGCUCCGGUAUUACUCUCCGGGGAUUUCAACACUACACUUAAGGAACAACACUUGGAGCUCACUUAAGAUGGCGUUUGUGGUACCUUUGAAGCCAUGGUCCUGUCUCAUUGAGCGUGCCUUCCACACACGGGAGUUCACAAAGCCAAGCGUGGGCGUCCACUAGCACCAAUGCUUCCGGGUUGAUACGAGCACCUCACCAACAACAUGGCUGCCAUCCCAAGCUCUUGGCCUUACACAAUGGGCGGCCCCUAGACAAACUCGAGUCCAGUCUCACUACACGGCAGCAGGCCCCCAGCAGUGUACGAACGAUGAUGUAGCACACCGCAGACUCGAUUUUUACAACUGCCUGACAAUCUCAUAUGCGCACAGCUAGCACCUGAUGUUAAUUCAAUAUUUGCAUUGAUCGGUUCAUUGACUUCAAAUAGAAAAGGUUCACCUUGUCCCCACAUGAAGUUAGCUUAUUUUUGUUUUGGAAGUUUGCUGUGUCUACUAAUUUUUUUCUGUGAUGCUUCUAGCUAUUUGUUUCAAAGAAUUAUUAUGUGAAAUUCCUAUUUAUUUGUUAGGAAGUUCGGUUUGUAUGUACGUGAGGUUCCCUUAUUAUUAAGAUUUUUGUUGAAUU